AGUCGAACGGCAGCACGGGAGCAAUCCUGGUGGCGAGUGGCGAACGGGUGAGUAAUAUAUCGGAACGUGCCCAGUCGUGGGGGAUAACGCAGCGAAAGCUGUGCUAAUACCGCAUACGAUCUAUGGAUGAAAGCGGGGGACUCGUAAGGGCCUCGCGCGAUUGGAGCGGCCGAUAUCAGAUUAGCUAGUUGGUGGGGUAAAAGCUCACCAAGGCGACGAUCUGUAGCUGGUCUGAGAGGACGACCAGCCACACUGGAACUGAGACACGGUCCAGACUCCUACGGGAGGCAGCAGUGGGGAAUUUUGGACAAUGGGCGCAAGCCUGAUCCAGCAAUGCCGCGUGCAGGAUGAAGGCCUUCGGGUUGUAAACUGCUUUUGUACGGAACGAAACGGUUCUCUUUAAUAAAGAGGGCUAAUGACGGUACCGUAAGAAUAAGCACCGGCUAACUACGUGCCAGCAGCCGCGGUAAU
rnacentral:rRNA from 1 species